CGCGUAGGCGGCCGGUCACGUCGGGUGUGAAAGCUCAGGGCUCAACCCUGAGACGCCAUUCGAUACGGAUCGGCUAGAGGCAGGUAGGGGAAAGUGGAAUUCCUGGUGUAGCGGUGAAAUGCGCAGAUAUCAGGAGGAACACCGGUGGCGAAGGCGGCUUUCUGGGUCUGUCCUGACGCUGAGGCGCGAAAGCUGGGGAGCGAACA
rnacentral:rRNA from 1 species